GACGAACGCUGGCGGCGUGCUUAAUACAUGCAAGUCGAACGGAAAGGCCCUGCUUUUGCUGGGUGCUCGAGUGGCGAACGGGUGAGUAACACGUGAGUAACCUGCCCUUGACUUUGGGAUAACUCCAGGAGACUGGGGAUCAUACCGGAUAGGAGCUCCUGCUGCAUGGUGGGGGUUGGAAGAAUUCGGCGGUUCGGGAUGGACUCGCGGCUUAUCAGCUUGUUGGUGGGGUAGUGGCUUACCAAGGCUUUGACGGGUAGCCGGCCUGAGAGGGUGACCGGCCACAUUGGGACUGAGAGAGGGCCCAGACUCCUACGGGAGGCAGCAGUGGGGAAUAUUGCACAAUGGGCGGAAGCCUGAUGCAGCAACGCCGCGUGCGGGAUGACGGCCUUCGGGUUGUAAACCGCUUUCGCCUGUGACGAAGCGUGAGUGACGGUAAUGGGUAAGGAAGCACCGGCUAACUACGUG
rnacentral:rRNA from 1 species